AUACGGAGGAUCCGAGCGUUAUCCGGAUUUAUUGGGUUUAAAGGGUGCGCAGGCGGAAGAUUAAGUCGGCGGUGAAAUUUUGCAGCUCAACUGUAAAAGUGCCAUCGAUACUGGUUUUCUUGAGUGUGGAUGAAGUAGGCGGAAUUUGUGGUGUAGCGGUGAAAUGCAUAGAUAUCACGAGGAACUCCGAUUGCGCAGGCAGCUUACUAGGCCAUAACUGACGCUCAGGCACGAAGGCGUGGGGAUCAAACAGGAUUUGAUACCCUGGUAGUCCACGCAGUAAACGAUGAUUACUCGCUGUUUGCGAUACACAGUAAGCGGCUUAGCGAAAGCGUUAAGUAAUCCACCUGGGGAGUACGUUCGCAAGAAUGAAACUCAAAUGAAUUGACGGGG
rnacentral:rRNA from 1 species